rnacentral:sRNA from 1 species
UGUAAGAAACGUGUGUACGUGAUGGAACGGCUGAGCGCCGAGGGCCACUUCUUCCACCGGGAGUGUUUCCGCUGCAGCAUCUGUGCCACCACCUUGCGCCUGGCCGCCUACACCUUUGACUGCGAUGAAGGCAAAUUUUACUGCAAGCCUCACUUCAUUCACUGUAAAACCAAUAGCAAACAACGGAAGAGACGGGCAGAGUUGAAGCAACAAAGAGAGGAGGAGGCAACAUGGCAAGAGCAGGAAGCCCCUCGGAGAGACACUCCCACCGAAAGUUCUUGCGCAGUGGCCGCCAUUGGCACCCCAGAAGGCAGCCCCCCAGGUACCCAGAUGCCACUUGUCAGCAGCAGGAUACUUUUUACAACAUGAAAGCAUAAUUAUUUUAGAAGAAGAGAGUAGAAGGGCAGAAUAGAAUUCAACUUACAAAAGCACGGA